GGCCUCAACGCUGGCAGCGCCGAGAACAUCGCGCAGAAGCGGCGCGAGGGCAAGCUGUUCGUCAACCGGCAGCAGCUGCGCUCCGUCAAGGGUGUCGGUCCCAAGAGCUUCGAACAGUGCGCGGGCUUCGUGCGCAUCCUGCCUGUGACGGGCGCGGCGGGCAAGAAGACGAAGAUGACGCCGAAGAAGGGUGGCAAGGUCGCGCCCA